rnacentral:rRNA from 1 species
GAUGAACGCUAGCGGCAGGCCUAAUACAUGCAAGUCGGACGGGAUCCAUCGGUAGCUUGCUAUCCAUGGUGAGAGUGGCGCACGGGUGCGUAACGCGUGAGCAACCUGCCUCCAUCAGGGGGAUAGCCUCUCGAAAGAGAGAUUAACACCGCAUAACAUAUCAGACCGGCAUCGGUCGGAUAUCAAAUAUUUAUAGGAUGGAGAUGGGCUCGCGUGACAUUAGCUUGUUGGUGGGGUAACGGCCCACCAAGGCGACGAUGUCUAGGGGCUCUGAGAGGAGAAUCCCCCACACUGGUACUGAGACACGGACCAGACUCCUACGGGAGGCAGCAGUAAGGAAUAUUGGUCAAUGGGCGGAAGCCUGAACCAGCCAUGCCGCGUGCAGGAUGACUGCCCUAUGGGUGGUAAACUGCUUUUGUCCGGGAAUAAACCUCCUUACGUGUAGGGAGCUGAAUGUACCGGAAGAAUAAGGAUCGGCUAACUCCGUG